rnacentral:lncRNA from 1 species
UUUUCACUUCUUUGUGCCUCUUUCACCAUUUAUUUGUGUGCAUACUCAGCAUAUUUGUUUGUGUAACAGGAUGUUAAAAAUAGAAUUUGUUGCCUGUAGUUUUUGCUAAAGCUCUACUAGACUGGAACAGAACAAUAGGUGGUAAAUACUCCAUUCCUCAGUGAGAUGCUACCUACCUAUGCAGAGCUGGAAAAGAUUUUGCAACCUGAAAACCCAAUCCUUUCUGAGAUAUAAAAGAACAGAAGAGUCUGGAAGUGAUUUCUUCGGAGAAAUUCAUUUUCUUAUUCCAGAGAAGAAACUUCAAGCUCAGAAUAUUGGCUACUACCUGUGAUAAACAUUUAAAUUAUUGGAACGAGAGAGUUUUUAUAACUAAAUUUGAAAGAAGCAAUUUUUUUUAUCAAAGACCAACCCGAAGAUUCAUGACCACUACCUGUGAUUUCAUCCAUGUUGCAAGGAAAAUCCUGCCCCACUUCCCCAAUAGGAAGAGUGGUGGGGGAAUAAUAAAGUUGUUUUAUGAUGCAUCCUGUGGACUUCUACUCGACAGAAUGGUAACAUUCAACUGUAAUCAGGAUGAGCAAGCCACUUUAUUAAACUAAAAUUUUAAACUUUAAUAAAUAUAAUACAAACUGAAAAAUAAAAAUAAUUUUUCAACUCUACACAAGUAUGUUAACUGCAUAAACAGUGAGAUGUUACACAGGGCUGAGGCCUAUACUUCUUCAGUUUGUACAUUAAACGUCUCCAUGGAGGGUCAAUUGCAUCCUACCUAUUCUGACAGUUAUCAGGUAGCGAGAGAUUUGAGGAAGAGGCGCUUUUCUAAUCUGGGGUAGGAAAAGGAAUGAUACCAUGUAUCAUGAGAAGUAUUUGCACAUAGUGUGUCAAUUAAGCAAGUGCUCAGACUAUUAACAACAUUACUAUGUGAUGAAUGUUUAUACAGUGGAUUCAAAAAUAAGCUUCUUUCCAGAAAGCAGCUUAGUUUUCAUUAAUUAUUACCAGCAUCUUGGUAAUUAUUUAUUUAAUGGUUUAAAAGUUAAAGUUUCAAUCUAUAUUUGUUUUUUUAACAUCAGCCAAGGAAAUACAUGUCUGUUAUACUGCAUCUUUGGAAGUAUGCAAUAAGUGUAACUAUUGAAUCUAUAUUGAAGAGCCACAAGACACUGAAUUUAAUUGGACGAGACUAUUUUAUUUAGGAAGACAAUCAUCUCCUGUGAUCAGCUUAAGGUUUUUGUUUUGUUUUAUCUGGAACAAGCUAAGUUCAUAUUUAGAAAAUAAAGUUAGUUUUUUGGGUGCAUGAGUUUUAGAGUAAAUUAGUAAUUUAGUAAACUUUGACAUUUCCACUUUGUCUCCAAACACAUUUAAAUUCUAUCUGUCUGACUGAAGUUCUAAGGCAUUCUGUGGUUACUUAGAAAUGAUUCCUUAUAUUAAUGUUUACAAAUGCUAAAUUGUAUUUGUUAAAUACAUGUCUUAUUGCCUAAGAGUUUUCCUUUCUUAUAAGUUUAAUAUAAAUGUCUAGGAAAUAAGACUCCCAUUUAAUAGCUUAUAAAGAAUGCUGAUGUAUCAGCAGUGGCCUUGACAUUAUUGGAUACAAGUAAGAUCUACACUGAUGAUUAAAUCAAAUUGGCUAAGAUUAUUCGUUCUAAUAAAAGCACUGACUCCAUGAA